rnacentral:rRNA from 1 species
GACGAACGCUGGCGGCGUGCUUAACACAUGCAAGUCGAACGGAAAGGCCCUGCUUUUGUGGGCUGCUCGAGUGGCGCACGGGUAAGUAACCCGUGAGUAACCUGCACUUGACUUUGGGGUAACUUCAGGAAGCUGGGGCUAAUACCGGAUAGGAGCUCCUGCUGCAUGGUGGGGGUUGGAAAGUUUCGGCGGUUGGGGAUGGAAUCGCGGCUUAUCAGCUUGUUGGUGGGGUAGUGGCUUACCAAGGCUUUGACGGGUAGCCGGCCUGAGAGGGUCACCGGCCACGUGAGGACUGGGAUACGGCCCAGACUACUACGGGAGGCAGCGGAGGGGAAGAUUGCACAAUGGGCGGAGGCCGGGUGCAGCAACGCCGCGUGCGGGAUGAGGGCCUUGGGGUAGGAUAGCAAUGUCGCUUGUGACGAAGCGAGAGUGACGGUAACGGGUAAAGAAGCACCGGCUAACUACGUG